rnacentral:rRNA from 1 species
CAGUAGCCGCGGUAAUACGUAGGUGGCAAGCGUUGUCCGGAAUUAUUGGGCGUAAAGGGCUCGCAGGCGGUUUCUUAAGUCUGAUGUGAAAGCCCCCGGCUCAUCCGGGGAGGGUCAUUGGAAACUGGGAAACUUGAGUGCAGAAGAGGAGAGUGGAAUUCCACGUGUAGCGGUGAAAUGCGUAGAGAUGUGGAGGAACACCAGUGGCGAAGGCGACUCUCUGGUCUGUAACUGACGCUGAGGAGCGAAAGCGUGGGGAGCGAACAGGAUUAGAGACCCCCGUAGUCCCUGUCUCUUAUAA